UAACCCUUCUAGGAAUUCAGAAAGCCUAUGGCAUGUAUUUAUAGAGAUAACUUCACGAGCACCAGGAGGUACUGAAUUUAAUUUCACAUCUUAAAAAUCUCUUGCGAAUCUGACCUAAAUCACAUAGAUAACCCGCGAGUUAUUGAUACACUGCGUGAAAAAAGAAACAAAUGCGCUGACCGUUGAAGGGAUAGGCAGCUUCUUAUUAUGUAACACGUGUUUGUAACGUUCCGAGUGUGUAAUAAAGCAUGAAGCUCACGCUUUUUUUCAUUUGAAAAGCAUACGUAUGAUAAGUUCAGACGUCAAAAGGUUCAUACUAGUUAAAAGCAACAGAGACAAUUUCACCGGUGACCUUUAAAAUC
rnacentral:lncRNA from 1 species